rnacentral:rRNA from 1 species
UCGCUGCAGGAUGGGCCCGCGGCGCAUUAGCUAGUUGGUGGGGUAACGGCUCACCAAGGCGACGAUGCGUAGCCGACCUGAGAGGGUGAUCGGCCACACUGGGACUGAGACACGGCCCAGACUCCUACGGGAGGCAGCAGUAGGGAAUCUUCCGCAAUGGACGAAAGUCUGACGGAGCAACGCCGCGUGAGUGAAGAAGGUUUUCGGAUCGUAAAACUCUGUUGUCAGGGAAGAACAAGUACGGGAGUAACUGUCCGUACCUUGACGGUACCUGGCCAGAAAGCCACGGCUAACUACGUGCCAGCAGCCGCGGUAAUACGUAGGUGGCAAGCGUUGUCCGGAAUUAUUGGGCGUAAAGCGCGCGCAGGCGGCCUUUUAAGUCUGAUGUGAAAGCCCACGGCUCAACCGUGGAGGGUCAUUGGAAACUGGAAGGCUUGAGUGCAGAAGAGAAGAGCGGAAUUCCACGUGUAGCGGUGAAAUGCGUAGAGAUGUGGAGGAACACCAGUGGCGAAGGCGGCUCUNUGGUCUGUAACUGACGCUGAGGCGCGAAAGCGUGGGGAGCGAACAGGAUUAGAUACCCUGGUAGUCCACGCCGUANACGAUGAGUGCUAAGUGUUGGGGGGUUUCCGCCCCUCAGUGCUGCAGCUAACGCAUUAAGCACUCCGCCUGGGGAGUACGGCCGCAAGGCUGAAACUCAAAGGAAUUGACNGGGGCCCGCACAAGCGGUGGAAGCAUGUGGUUAAUUCGAAAGCACGCGAAGAACCUUACAGGGUCUGACAUCCCGCUGGCCGCCCUGGAGACAGGGNCUUCCCUUCGGGGACAGCGUGACAGUGGUGCAUGGUGUCGUCAGCUCGUGUNUGAGAUGUU